rnacentral:rRNA from 1 species
GACGAACGCUGGCGGCGUGCUUUACACAUGCAAGUCGAACGGAAAGGCCCUGCUUUUGUGGGGUGCUCGAGUGGCGAACGGGUGAGUAACACGUGAGUAACCUGCCCUUGACUUUGGGAUAACUUCAGGAAACUGGGGCUAAUACCGGAUAGGAGCUCCUGCUGCAUGGUGGGGGUUGGAAAGUUUCGGCGGUUGGGGAUGGACUCGCGGCUUAUCAGCUUGUUGGUGGGGUAGUGGCUUACCAAGGCUUUGACGGGUAGCCGGCCUGAGAGGGUGACCGGCCACAUUAGGACUGAGAUACGGCCCAGACUCCUACGGGAGGCAGCAGUGGGGAAUAUUGCACAAUGGGCGGAAGCCUGAUGCAGCAACGCCGCGUGCGGGAUGACGGCCUUCGGGUUGUAAACCGCUUUCGCCUGUGACGAAGCGUGAGUGACGGUAAUGGGUAAAGAAGCACCGGCUAACUACGUG